GGCCUAGCUCAAUUGGUAGAGCAUCUGACUUUUAAUCAGAGGGUCAGAGGUUCGAAUCCUCUAUGGCUCA
rnacentral:tRNA from 1 species